GGACGGACAUCGCGUCACGAAAACUUGAGUCGAUGGGUUACCAGUAUUUGUUACCAUAUUUGUUUUGUAUACCACUAUUUCUUAGGUUCUUAGCUUCUCAAGCAGUGGAAUUGCAUGUUAAUUGUUAGACCAUGUGAAUUAUAUGAAAGUCAACCAAGCAGUUUUCUCAGUACAAUAUUUAAGAAUAAAAUGAAAUUCUAAAGAACUUGCAAAGGAGCUUUCAUAUGGCAAAUUCAAGUUAAAGAGACAGUUACAAACAUCCUUCAGUCAUCACAGCCUUCAUCUGUUCUGUUCAUGCUAUACCAUGCAAGCUACAAGCAGCAAUAACUUAACAGGAGGGCAAACAAGUGCAGUUAAAAAAGAAAAAUUACACAACAUCAUUACCAAGACCAACAAUAAGAAAUUGCCAUGCUGUGUCAAGGUGAAGGAAACUACUACAAAACCAUUACAAAAUCAUGGCUAAAUCAUUAUCGCACUUAAGAGCUUACUUAACCAGUGAACCAGAAAUGCAUAACAUGCAACUGCAAUUUGUGACAAUUCCCUACACUGAUGUAUCACACAGGAAAAAAGCUACAGCUACUAUGUGGCACUACAAUAUUGCAGUCACUGCCAUUAUUACAAAAGCUCUACAACGAGCAUCUCAGUCCAACAUGAUACCAAAAGAUUAACAAUUGAUACAUGUUAAUUGGGAGAAGGCCCCAAAAACAUUUAAUAAGAAGGCAAAUAGAAACCACACAUUUAAUGCUACAUCAAUAUUUUAGCUGAGACCCAAACAGUCGUGCUAAAGAAGUUUAAAAAAAUUAAACAGUCAGAAAACAUGAAUAAAGCAAAAACAAGGGGCAGCAUUCUAUUAUGAUGUGCUUGGGAUGAUAUCCUUAUCUCACAAACGAUAUAAUCAAAAUAAUAGUAAGCCAUAUUGGUACAGUCUGUACUACCAAAAUCAUUCAAUAGAACAUUUUUAAUCAGCAACAUAAUUAGUGCACAGCCAGAAAAGUAUUUUUCUUGUGUUUAUGGCAAUUAUCCACAAUUUGUGUAACCAGACGUGGUUGGAUAUCACAUGACUGCUGCCUUAUAUGAACUUUUGUUUUUAUUGGGACUUUCGUGCUAAAAAGCAAUGUCAGUCAAUAGCCAUUGGCAUAAUGUGAGAUCCACUCUACGAUAAGCAAUCAAACCUACCACCACUGAAACACGGGGCUACAAGGAUGACUUAGAAUUAAAGACAAUGUGACUUUUGUUUACCUCAGUAGUGGCUUGUUUGGAGACCAAUUUGAAUCUCGGUAUCGAGACAAAACCCAGAGAAACACUUUUAAAAACAGUUCAAGAUCUCAAGAGAUCCAAGUUUGAAUUUAGACGCCGGACAAUUUUCUUUGGAUACAGGAUGUGCAGAAAAAGGUCAAACCAUCCAAGAGUGGAAAGGAUUGUGUCACAGC